UAAGGAAUAUUGGUCAAUGGGAGGAAUCCUGAACCAGCCAUGCCGCGUGCGGGAAGAAGGCCCUUCGGGUUGUAAACCGCUUUUGUCAGGGAAGAAUGACGAGGAUUUAUCCUUGGAGGGACGGUACCUGAAGAAUAAGCACCGGCUAACUCCGUGCCAGCAGCCGCGGUAAUACGGAGGGUGCAAGCGUUAUCCGGAAUCACUGGGUUUAAAGGGUACGUAGGCGGUUUGAUAAGUCAGGUGUGAAAUACCGCAGCCUAACUGCGGAACUGCACUUGAUACUGUCAGACUUGAGUAGGGUGGAGGUACACGGAAUGCAUCAUGUAGCGGUGAAAUGCUUAGAUAUGAUGUAGAACACCGAUAGCGAAGGCAGUGUACCAUACCUAUACUGACGCUGAGG
rnacentral:rRNA from 1 species